GCCUGGGUAGCUCAGUUGGUAGAGCAUUGGACUUUUAAUCUGAGGGCUCAGGGUUCAAGUCCCUCUUUGGGCG